CGGCCGCGGGGGCGGGGCCGGGGCGGGGCCGGAGGAGGAGGCGGAAGCGGCGAGCGAGUCCGAGCCGGAGCCGCAUCGAAGCUGCGUCCGGGCCGGCGGAGCGGCGGUGGCGGGGACGCGCCCGCGGAGCUCGGGCGCCUUCUCCCCGGACCCGGAGGCCGCGCUGCGCGGGGCGGCGGCGAGGCCGGAAGAUGGCCUGGGUGCUCAGUAUGGACGAGGUGAUCGAGUCCGGGCUGGUGCACGACUUCGACUCCAGCCUGUCCGGCAUCGGACAAGAGCUGGGCGCUGGCGCCUACAGCAUGAGUGAUGUGUUGGCGCUACCCAUUUUCA
rnacentral:lncRNA from 1 species